UACGAAGGGAGCUAGCGUUGUUCGGAAUCACUGGGCGUAAGGCGCACGUAGGCGGAUUUGUCAGUCAGGGGUGAAAUCCCGGGGCUCAACCUCGGAACUGCCUUUGAUACAGCAAGUCUUGGGUUCGAGAGAGGUGGGUGGAAUUCCUAGUGUAGAGGUGAAAUUCGUAGAUAUUAGGAAGAAUACCGGUGGCGAAGGCGGCCCACUGGCUCGAUACUGACGCUGAGGAGCGAAAGCAUGGGGAGCGAACAGG
rnacentral:rRNA from 1 species